rnacentral:rRNA from 1 species
AUUGAACGCUGGCGGCAGGCCUAACACAUGCAAGUCGAACGAGUGGCGGACGGGUGAGUAAUGUCUGGGAAACUGCCUGAUGGAGGGGGAUAACUACUGGAAACGGUAGCUAAUACCGCAUACCCUCAGAUGUUCCCAGAUGGGAUUAGAGAGUUGGUUGGGUAACGUCUCACCAAGGCGACGAUCACUAGCUGGUCUGAGAGGAUGACCAGCCACACUGGAACUGCGACACGGUCCAGACUCCUACGGGAGGCAGCAGUGGGGAAUAUUGCACAAUGGGCGCAAGCCUGAUGCAGCCAUGCCGCGUGGAUGAAGAAGGCUUUCGGGUUGUAAAGUACUUUCAGCGGGGAGGCGUUACCCGCAGAAGAAGCACCGGCUAACUCCGUGCCAGCAGCCGCGGUAAUAC